rnacentral:rRNA from 1 species
GGUUGACCUCGGAUCAGGUAGGGAUACCCGCUGAACUUAAGCAUAUCAAUAAGCGGAGGAAAAGAAACCAACAGGGAUUGCCUCAGUAACGGCGAGUGAAGCGGCAAGAGCUCAAAUUUGAAAUCUGGCCCCUUCGGGGUCCGAGUUGUAAUUUGUAGAGGAUGCUUCGGGUGCGGCCCCCGUCUAAGUGCUCUGGAACGGGCCAUCGGAGAGGGUGAGAAUCCCGUCUGGGACGGGGUGUCCGCGUCCAUGUGAAGCUCCUUCGACGAGUCGAGUUGUUUGGGAAUGCAGCUCUAAAUGGGUGGUAAAUUUCAUCUAAAGCUAAAUACUGGCCGGAGACCGAUAGCGCACAAGUAGAGUGAUCGAAAGAUGAAAAGCACUUUGAAAAGAGAGUUAAACAGCACGUGAAAUUGUUGAAAGGGAAGCGCUUGCGACCAGACUCGCUUCCGGGGUUCAGCCGGCUUUCGGGCCGGUGUACUUCCCCGGGGGCGGGCCAGCGUCGGUUUGGGCGGCCGGUCAAAGGCCCCUGGAAUGUAACGCCCCUCGGGGCGCCUUAUAGCCAGGGGUGUCAUGCGGCCAGCCUGGACCGAGGAACGCGCUUCGGCACGGACGCUGGCAUAAUGGUCGUAAACGACC